GACAGAGGGUGCGAACGUUGUUCGGAAUUACUGGGCGUAAAGCGCGUGUAGGCGGCCCUGCAAGUCGGACGUGAAAUCCCAUGGCUCAACCGUGGAAGUGCGCUCGAAACUGCAAGGCUGGAGUCCUGGAGAGGAAGGUGGAAUGCUCGGUGUAGAGGUGAAAUUCGUAGAUAUCGAGCGGAACACCGGUGGCGAAGGCGGCCUUCUGGACAGUGACUGACGCUGAGACGCGAAAGCGUGGGGAGCAAACAGG
rnacentral:rRNA from 1 species